rnacentral:tRNA from 1 species
GGGUCGAUGGCGUAGUUGGUUAUCGCAUCUGUCUAACAUACUCGCUAUGUUCCACAGAAGGUCCUCAGUUCGAACCUGGGUCGACUCA